CAAAACACAAAAACCACAACAGGUACCUGACUUUCUGCUCCGUCACUUACUUGAAAAAUGACAACUACUGUGUUCACUGUGUUUUAAUCAUCUGAUGCACUCUUCUUCUGCUUUCACAAAAGUAUAAUUUUCCUUUUCUGUUUUCAAAGAGACCACGUAGGGACAGAAAUAGCUCACGACAUCACCCGGCGUUACCUAGGAAGGCUGACAAAAAUCACUAACAUUAACUGUUAACACUUACAAUUACUAGAUGUCAUAAUCUUCUUGGGGGGCCCCUUGGAUAAUGGUAUGGGAAACGCUGCUACGUCAUGUUGCCAGAAAGGCCCAACUUAAAUGGUUUCUUGGUUUUGAAAGUCUAGUAGUGAUAGGCCUGGGUGUGGCAAAAAGGUGUGGCUAAUCAAAAUUAAUGACUUCAAGGUUUCCCCCAGAAAACUUGCUAAGCCCGGUGGUUGGGCUGUAAGACAGUCAUUUAUCCAGCGACUUGUUAUGUUUUUGAGUUAAAAAAUGUUUAAAGCUGACAGGAAACUUGAAAACAUCACUUGAUAAUUAUGUGUUAUUGAAAAAUUAA